ensembl:misc_RNA Metazoa_SRP Metazoan signal recognition particle RNA
GCUGGGCACAGUGGUGUGUGCCUGUAAUCCCAGCUACUUGGGAGGCUGAGGCAGGAGAAUUGCUUGAACCCGGGAGGCGGAGGUUGCAGUAAGCCAAGACGGGGCCACUGCAUUCCGACCUGGGUGACAGAGCCAGACUCUGUCUCAA